UUCACUGUGCUUAAACGGCUGUGGGUAACUUAAGUUACCCACAGCCCAAGAUGGAGCCGCCUUGCGUCGGUUAGAUACUUUUCUUCUAUAGAAUAACAAUACCACGAAUGCAUCAUUAAACAACUGAAUUUAAAAGUUGUAUUAAUCGUUUAGGGAAACCCCUAAACUGGAAAGGUGAUUAAAUUCUACAAAAUAAACGAUCACAGCACGAUUUUAAAAAACACUUAGGCUGUCCGUAACUUCAAAACAACUUGUCCGUAACUUUUUUCAUCAUACCAAUAGAGAUGUCCGUAACUUUCAAAGAAUCGACAUACGCGGAUGUAAUGUUUAAACUGAUGAUAGAGAUUGCAUCGAAUACAUAUUCACAAAACGAAGUAGAUGUCUAGUAUGAUAUAAUUCAUUGUAUCGAUGGAAGACAAAAUUGGGAAAAAUAUGAAAAAAAUCACGAUAAAUCCGCAAAACUCGGGUCUCAUUUUGUAUAACGUCGGGGUAUCCGAAUCGCCAAGUUCGGAGGGUUGUUUCCGAUCAUAGCAGUAUGAUAAACUGUUGAAACAUAUCAUUGUUCGUUUUUAUUUUUGAACAAGUAGACUACACAAGUAUUUUUUACACAUACAUGUAGCAUGUAUACACUUACUGAUUUUCUGCCAGCAACGACAAGGGUAGCGUGAAUCCGGGAUUUUGGAUUUUGGAGGGGAACCCAAAUUGCCCAGGCAUGCAGUGGAUAGACUAUACGAGACUUAAGUGCACAAACUUUUUCCGUCUUUUUGAAAAAGCCAAAAACACUUUUCUCUCAUCCCCACAAAAACCAAGAUUUACAGUAAAUGGGAAAACUUUAAAAAAGGACAUUUUGUAUAAAUGAAUAAACCUAGUUUUACAGCAGCUGCAUAUUUCAUUUGUAUGCAAGUUGCAUUAAAUCUCAUUAAACUGAAUAAAACUAAAAGACACAAUAGGUAAAAGUCAGUGACAAUAAAAGGAAAAAGAGCAGUCAACAUAGUGUAACAAUUCGACAUAGUAUAUAAAAAUAUAAAUAACUACGUAGGACAACAGGGUAAUUUAAUAGUCUAACAACCCCUGAUAACAUACAAAGAGAGAAAAAAAACAUACUAGGAAACAUAUUCAAAAAAUCAUAACACUAUAACUAACUGGUGGGAUGUAUAAAUACCGAGCCGCGUCAAAGAGUAUUCAUCAAAAUACACAUAGAAAGAAACAGAGGUGAAGGUAAACCGCAAACAUAUAAUUAAACUCAAAACAUUAAAGAGUAUGGAAAAGCCUUGGUCUGACAAGCGAAAAACGUCGAUAAGACGCACAUCAGUAAAUAAAAGUUCAAACCAUAACCAGGAUGGAGUACCACAAACCCCACAUAAAACUUCUGUGGUGUAAGUAUGAUGCGUUAAUAAAAUCACAUUUGGUGGUGAAUGAGUAGUAUAAACGGCCGCGAAGGUUACAAAUAUGAUGUUAAUUGUCUUCUAAUUGUUGAAAUUAUAAUUCUUAAAAAUUUUAAAUCAAAAGUUACCCACAUCUAAAAAUAAAGUUACGGACAGUCUGCUUAGUUUCGAUCAAAAAGUUACGGACAUCUUAUGCAUUUUUUAAAGUUGACCUUGCGCUUUAGUGAACUCUAUAUUAACAAAUUUAUGGUAAUUGUUAGUCAUUUCUUUAUUCAAUAAUCCUAUAAAUAUUUACAUUCUGCAUGAAAAACGUCGCAAAAGGUACAUUUUGUAUGAAUUAAAUAUCAACGAGUUUAGAGUCCGCC
rnacentral:lncRNA from 1 species